CCUACGGGAGGCAGCAGUAGGGAAUUUUCGGCAAUGGGGGGAACCCUGACCGAGCAACGCCGCGUGAACGAAGAAGUUAUUCGUAAUGUAAAGUUCUUUUAACAGGGAAGAAAGAGAAAUUUGACGGUACCUGAAGAAUAAGCUCCGGCUAACUACGUGCCAGCAGCCGCGGUAAUACGUAGGGAGCGAGCGUUAUCCGGAAUUAUUGGGCGUAAAGGGUGCGUAGGCGGAAGAUCAAGUCAGCGGUAAAAUUGAGAGGCUCAACCUCUUCGAGCCGUUGAAACUGGUUUUCUUGAGUGAGCGAGAAGUAUGCGGAAUGCGUGGUGUAGCGGUGAAAUGCAUAGAUAUCACGCAGAACUCCGAUUGCGAAGGCAGCAUACCGGCGCUCAACUGACGCUCAUGCACGAAAGUGUGGGUAUCGAACAGGAUUAGAUACCCUUGUAGUC
rnacentral:rRNA from 1 species